ACACAAAUGUGACAAUUUUGACUGAAGUUUUCUAUUUGUAUCAUAAUAUGAAUACCAAUUACUUUUAAAUGCCAUUAAUGGUUUACAUAUUUUUUUCAGUACAUGCAUGAAGAUGACUUGGAGGCAAUGGUGUCAUACAUGUUAGUUUUAACUAUAAUAGCCUAACUGAAAUUUGAAAAAAGUUAUCAGAGGAAAAGAGUGACCACUUCUUUCUUAUGAAGAUCAACACACACAAGGAAAUUAUCAGACAAUUUGUAACCAGAUAUGGGGGCAGUUUUAGAUAUAUAUGCAUGAAAAGAAAGUGAAAUCAAUGUUUUUUUAGAUAAAAGCUUGAUGAUAUAACACAAAUAUAACAGUGCUGAAUAUGAAAACCCCAUGCCAUGUCACAUGUAACUUUUGGAAUGCAGAGAUUUUCAGUAUUACAAUAAAAGGAAGGAUUUCAUUACUGUUAAAACUGACUCUGGAACAUUCAAGACAAAGAAAUAAAGAAAUAAAAAC
rnacentral:lncRNA from 1 species